AGCAGCCGCGGUAAUUCCAGCUCCAAUAGCGUAUAUUAAAGUUGUUGCAGUUAAAAAGCUCGUAGUUGAAUUUCGGGGUUAGUAGGUCGGUCAUGCCACUGGUAUGUACUGGUCUCACUGAUUCCUCCUUCCUGAUGAACCGUAAUGCCGUUAAUUUGGUGUUGCGGGGAGACUGGACUGUUACUUUGAAAAAAUUAGAGUGUUUAAAGCAGGCUAACGCUUGAAUACAUUAGCAUGGAAUAAUGAAAUAGGACGUUCGAUCCUAUUUUGUUGGUUUCUAGGAUUGACGUAAUGAUUAAUAGGGAUAGUUGGGGGCAUUAGUAUUCAAUUGUCAGAGGUGAAAUUCUUGGAUUUAUUGAAGACUAACUACUGCGAAAGCAUUUGCCAAGGAUGUUUUCAUUAAUCAAGAACGAAAGUUAGGGGAUCGAAGACGAUCAGAUACCGUCGUAG
rnacentral:rRNA from 1 species